rnacentral:rRNA from 1 species
GACGGAGGGUGCUAGCGUUGUUCGGAAUCACUGGGCGUAAAGGGCGCGUAGGCGGCGCCGACAGUCGGCCGUGAAAGCCCGGGGCUCAACCCCGGAGGUGCGGCCGAGACGUCGGUGCUGGAGGCCGGAAGAGGAGGGCGGAAUACCCAGUGUAGAGGUGAAAUUCGUAGAUAUUGGGUGGAACACCGGUGGCGAAAGCGGCUCUCUGGUCCGGACCUGACGCUGAGGCGCGAAAGCGUGGGGAGCAAACAGGAUUAGAUACCCGCGUA